rnacentral:lncRNA from 1 species
AUGAAUUUCUACAUUGCUUGCAUUGCACAUACAGAGGUGCUUAGAAAGUCUUCCACCCAAGAGCAGAUGAAGCUAGAUGUGUUAAGUUUCAACAGACCCAUUCUAUCCUCAGUGUUCAGGUACUGCCCUCUUCUUUCUUCUGUACACAUUUUUGACUGUUCAUUCUAUUUUUCUUCCUCAGAGUUUUGCAAGACAAUAGUUGGGGCUACAUAUGCAAACUACUAUUAUCCAGAUACAACAACAGACAGCUUGCGCUGUGUGAGUAACUGCACCAAGGGCAGUGCGUAUGCUAUCAAUUGCUACCAUGGGGUUUGCCGCAUCUCUGACAAAGGCCCCAACUGCAACUGUAAUGACCGGAAUACCUUUUGGUAUGUAGACAAUAACUGCCAGACGCGUUUCCAGAAGAGUGAGGUGGGUCUUGGUAUUGGGAUGGCUGUCCUCUUCCUGAUUGCUAUCAUCUUGGCUGUCUUCCUCUUCAGAACCUAUCGGAGAAAGUCUGAGUCUAGAUACUCUGAUGGAGAUAACCUCAUUUAUGAAGACACUAAAGAGGAAGAAUGGCUACCCCCGUGGACCCUGAACUUCACAAAUGAGGCAGCUGACUUCCACAAUGGAAGCCAAAAUAUAAACAAUGGAUUCAAUCUUUCACUUGACUCAGUAGACACCUCAGUACAGGUACGUAUCACUGUCCUUUCCUCUUCGGUGGAAUUUACUGGAUAUCUUUAUUCCGGCAUCAAGCAACUGAUGCAUAACAUGUAA